AUAACUUCUUGCCUUUGCCUGCCAUUAUUCCAUGGCUGAUCUAAUAUUCUGGGCCUUGAUUUUACUUGUUCCUCUGGGGGAGAUAUAGAGGGAGUUGCUUCGUUUGGCCUGAAGAAACAUUUGGAGACAUUAAAGAUGCUAAAAUCCAGAUUCAGCCCAAAAUAUAAAUGUGCCUAAAUCAAGGAACAAAAAACUUUCAGUUAGGGACGUGUAUCAACAUCCAUAGCUAAUCACUUGAGACUCUCCAAGUCCCACUCUGGAGGUAGCUGUGGAAAAAGUGCCUGCAGCUUCUAGCAGGGCAGUGGAAACAAGGGUAAAUGAGAAGGAAUGCAAUAGGAAUAGGCUUGGGGCGCCAUGGAGAGGUGGCCUUACUCCUGGGGGUAUGAGCAAGACACCCUGUCACCCUGCCUCUCUGGUUAAAGGUUUGCCUUUGCUCUUUCCACAGUACCUGCAGGGUGUUACAUUCCUGCCUCCCUGACAGCUGUUUUGUCUCACAGCAUUUUCAAAUGCACUGGAGAUGAUUUUCUCUUGGAUUGCUCCUGAUGUCAAGCUGUGAGUCAUGGACCACUCCACGAGUGGUGAAGGACAUCCCCGAUCUGUGGCACUGUGGCAGCUUGGUGAAGACCCAAAAGAAAAAGAGCCUGGCUGUAGAACUGAACCCUUAAAACCAACUAAUUUCUUUGAAGGGACUUAUUCGGAAGAAAGUUAAUAAAAACUGCAUGGAAAAACCAGCAUCACAGCUAUUUUUUUUUUUCUGCUUGAAAUUCCUACAGGGAAGUUAGCUGAAUGCAAAAAGUAUGGAGAAAGAGAGAAACAUUCCAUUGGUCCUUAAAGCCCAAAGGAGUGAUUCCUUCAGUGCUGCCAUUCCAAUGGAGAUUGCAACAAGGUCUCCUUCAAUACCAGUUGCUGCACUGGUGCAGAUCCUCUGGCACCAAUUCCUGUCCCUGGGAGUUGUCCCAGCUUGAUGUCUGCAAG